rnacentral:rRNA from 1 species
AAGUCGUAACAAGGUUUCCGUAGGUGAACCUGCGGAANGACCAUUACCUAGAGUUUGUAGACUUCGGUCUGCUACCUCUUACCCAUGUCUUUUGAGUACCUUCGUUUCCUCGGCGGGUCCGCCCGCCGAUUGGACAACAUUCAAACCCUUUGCAGUUGCAAUCAGCGUCUGAAAAAACAUAAUAGUUACAACUUUCAACAACGGAUCUCUUGGUUCUGGCAUCGAUGAAGAACGCAGCGAAAUGCGAUAAGUAGUGUGAAUUGCAGAAUUCAGUGAAUCAUCGAAUCUUUGAACGCACAUUGCGCCCCUUGGUAUUCCAUGGGGCAUGCCUGUUCGAGCGUCAUUUGUACCUUCAAGCUCUGCUUGGUGUUGGGUGUUUGUCUCGCCUCUGCGUGUAGACUCGCCUUAAAACAAUUGGCAGCCGGCGUAUUGAUUUCGGAGCGCAGUACAUCUCGCGCUUUGCACUCAUAACGACGACGUCCAAAAGUACAUUUUUACACUCUUGACCUCGGAUCAGGUAGGGAUACCCGCUGAACUUAAGCAUAUCA